CAGGAUAGUGUAAAAGUAGCCUGACCCGAUAUUAAACUCCCUAAAGAGCCCUUGCUCUUCCCCACUUCAUCCCCAACCCCUUUCAGCGAUCAAGAGAGAUCCGUCCUUCCGCCGCCGGCCACCGUCUUCUCUUCGCAGCAGGCCGCCACACCGCUUCCCUCCGCCGCUACAGCACCGUUCCGCCACCGCCGCUGCCGCACUGCUCCGCAACCGCAGCUGCCGCACCGCUCCACCACCGCUGCUGCAGGCACACACAUUGGCAUCUGGACAUGGGGAAAUCACCAGGAGAUGAGAAGAUUCUCACAUACAAUGAUGUGGUACUGAGACGAUCAGAUCUGGACAUUCUCAGUGGUCCAUAUUUUCUGAAUGAUCGCAUCAUUGAAUUUUAUUUCAGUUAUCUCUCUUCAUGUUAUCCUUCUGAGGACAUCUUACUGGUCCCCCCUUCCAUUGCUUUCUGGAUAACUAACUGCCCAGAUAUUGCGAGUCUUGGGGACUUCGUAGACCCCUUUAAUCUCCCCGGUAAGGAACUGGUAAUCUUUCCUGUCAACAAUAAUAACGACGUAACUCAGGCUGAAGGGGGGAGCCAUUGGAGCUUACUUGCUUUCAACAGGAACUCUAAAGUGUUUGUACAUCAUGAUAGCUAUGGAGGACUCAAUGCAGGGCAUGCCAAACGGCUUUACAAAGCUAUUUUUAGAUACAUGGGUAUUGCUGAUACAAUAUCAACUUGUGAAUAUCUCGAAUGCAACAGAACCCCACAACAAGUUAACGGCUAUGACUGUGGUUUAUAUGUUGCUGCUAUUACAAAAGCUAUAUGCAGCUGGUAUAAAAAUGGUGAACCGAAAGAUGAAGAUGGUUUAUGGUGUUCUGUGGUUAGUGACCAGGUUACUCCAUAUGCUGUUGGUGAGAUGCGCAAUGAAAUUUUGAUGCUAAUAAGAAGUUUAAUGCCCGUGAAGUAAAACUCUUAAAUUACUGGCUUUCUGGGAGUUGGAAGUCUUCUCUUAGCAGCGCAGGAAUUUUGCGUUUGAGGUUAGCUGCUUGUAAUUCACUCACACAUGGAUUCAUUCGUGUCAAAAGUUUGGCCCAAUGCUCCUUUACUGCUGCAUUUUGAAGGCAAAGACUACUAUCCAGUUUCUCCGUCUUGCUGGUUCGUCAUUAGAAAGGGAAGAAUCCUGCAUUUUGAAGGUCCUGAUGAAUACGUGUGGUAAUCAGUUUAGCAGAACUGGUUUUCGUGCUUUUCAACGAGGAAGAAUUCCUCGUCAGUGAAAUAUCCCUCAGGUUAAGAGAGCAUUGGAUGUGAGCCAGCCAGUUUUUGCUUUCUAUUUUUUUGACAAAAUAUGUUGGUUGAAUUAACCUAAUAAUUUUUGUUAUUUUUUUAAAGGACAAUAUUCCAUAUACAAAGGGGUAGUCUGAUUUGUUCAGUCGCGGCACCAGAAAGACACAUGGCUUAUAAUUCAAUGUACGGGUAGAUCUGC